GAUGAACGCUGGCGGCGUGCCUAAUACAUGCAAGUCGAGCGAACGGACGAGAAGCUUGCUUCUCUGAUGUUAGCGGCGGACGGGUGAGUAACACGUGGAUAACCUACCUAUAAGACUGGGAUAACUUCGGGAAACCGUAGCUAAUACCGGAUAAUAUUUUGAACUGCAUGGUUCAAAAGUGAAAGACGGUCUUGCUGUCACUUAUAGAUGGAUCCGCGCUGCAUUAGCUAGUUGGUAAGGUAACGGCUUACCAAGGCAACGAUGCAUAGCCGACCUGAGAGGGUGAUCGGCCACACUGGAACUGAGACACGGUCCAGACUCCUACGGGAGGCAGCAGUAGGGAAUCUUCCGCAAGGGGCGAAAGCCUGACGGGGCAACGCCGCGUGAGUGAUGAAGGUCUUCGGAUCGUAAAACUCUGUUAUUAGGGAAGAGCAUAUGUGUAAGUAACUGUGCACAUCUUGACGGUACCUAAUCAGAAAGCCACGGCUAACUACGUG
rnacentral:rRNA from 1 species